GGGAGAACUCCAAUGGCGCCUGUGUCAGCAUGCCCACACCAGGCCACAACUAUGGCCGCCGCCAAUGUCCCAGUCCCUGGAGAGGUCUCACCCCUCACCGAGAUGCACUCAGGGCCUAUUAGAUUCCUGAUUUUGGUUGGAUGUCGAAGCAACCAGCCCCACGGAAGGAUCCAGGCAAGCCACAGCAAUCUGUUGCCAUUUUGCCUCUGACUGAAACGCUGGAACUUAUGCCACUCAGUUCUACACAAUCAGAGAGGUUCUGUGAAGAUAUGAUCACUGGAGCUAUGGCAGCUAUCUUGCUACCGUGAAGAAAGAAGUAACAUGUUAAGAAUACAAAUGGAAAGAAGAAAAGAGCUCGGUUUCUUUAUGAUAUUUUUGACCUAUGGAACCACCCACAGUACUGUCUAUCUCCAGACUUUUGGCAUUGUGAGAUAAUUAUCUUAGUAUCAAAGGUACUAUGAUCCGGUAUUCUGUUACUUACAGCUAAAUAGAUCCUAACUGAUACUGUCCCAUAAAUGGAAGACUCAGUGUGACUGGCUAUGUCCACAUCCUUGAAACAUUACCAAUGUUAUUUAUACUACAAAAAGAUAUUAUAUGGCUUUAUGUCAGUCCAAUUUAGGGCUAAAAUUCUCAGGUGCAGGGUAUUAGUUAACUACACAUUUUGCCUCCUUUUAAAAUUCGUAUUUGUAAUAUAAGCAAUUUAAAGAAAUUUUUGUUUUUAUGUGUCUUUACCAUAUGUCAAGCCACUUUGAAAUGAAAAAAACAAGAUAUUCAUUGUAUCGAAUAUGUCAUGUAUGUACGUAAUAUCGUACCCCCAAAUCUAGAAAAUGUGAACACAAAAGUUCAUAACAGCUCCAGGUAAAAUUUCUGGUAUUUAUUGGCUUUUCUUCUUUCUUUUCCAUCUUACAAGAGUCAUUUUAUUUUGAUCUUCAAGUAGAGCCAAAUGGGU